rnacentral:rRNA from 1 species
AUACGGAGGAUGCGAGCGUUAUCCGGAUUUAUUGGGUUUAAAGGGAGCGUAGGUGGGAUAUUAAGUCAGCUGUGAAAGUUUGGGGCUCAACCUUAAAAUUGCAGUUGAUACUGGUUUCCUUGAGUACGGUACAGGUGGGCGGAAUUCGUGGUGUAGCGGUGAAAUGCCUAGAUAUCACGAAGAACUCCGAUCGCGAAGGCAGCUCACCGGGGCGGAACUGACACUGAUGCUCGAAAGUGCGGGUAUCAAACAGGAUUAGAUACCCUGGUAGUCCGCACAGUAAACGAUGAAUACUCGCUGUUUGCGAUACACUGUAAGCGGCCAAGCGAAAGCGUUAAGUAUCCCACCUGGGGAGUACGCCGGCAACGGUGAAACUCAAAUGAAUUGACGGGG